rnacentral:rRNA from 1 species
GGCCAAGUUUUUAAGGGCGCACGGUGGAUGCCUUGGCACCAGGAACCGAUGAAGGACGUGGGAGGCCGCGAUAGGCCCCGGGGAGCUGUCAACCGAGCUUUGAUCCGGGGGUGUCCGAAUGGGGAAACCCGGCAGUCGUCAUGGGCUGUCACCCAUACCUGAACACAUAGGGUAUGUGGAGGGAACGCGGGGAAGUGAAACAUCUCAGUACCCGCAGGAAGAGAAAACAACCGUGAUUCCGGGAGUAGUGGCGAGCGAAACCGGAUGAGGCUAAACCUUGAGUGUGUGAUACCCGGCAGGGGUUGCGCUCAGGGGGUCGUGGGAAAGUUCUUCAGUCGUCUGCCGGCGGCUGGGUGAGUCAGAAACCGUAUGGGUAGUCGAAGGACAUGCGAAAGGUCCGGCGUAGAGGGUAAGACCCCCGUAGACGAAAUCUGUACGGCUCACUUGAGCUUCUCCCAAGUAGCACGGAGCCCGAGAAAUUCCGUGUGAAUCUGGCGGGACCACCCGCUAAGCCUAAAUAUUCCCUGGUGACCGAUAGCGGAUAGUACCGUGAGGGAAUGGUGAAAAGUACCGCGGGAGCGGAGUGAAAUAGUACCUGAAACCGUGUGCCUACAAGCCGUGGGAGCGUCGUUCGUCGAGUUUACUCGGCGGGCCGUGACUGCGUGCCUUUUGAAGAAUGAGCCUGCGAGUUUGCGGUGUGUAGCGAGGUUAACCCGUGUGGGGUAGCCGUAGCGAAAGCGAGUCCGAAUAGGGCGUCUGAGUUGCAUGCCCAAGACCCGAAGCGGAGUGAUCUAGCCAUGGGCAGGUUGAAGCGCGGGUAAGACCGCGUGGAGGACCGAACCCACCAGGGUUGAAAACCUGGGGGAUGACCUGUGGUUAGGGGUGAAAGGCCAAUCAAACUCCGUGAUAGCUGGUUCUCCCCGAAAUGCAUUUAGGUGCAGCGUCACGUGUUUCUUGCCGGAGGUAGAGCACUGGAUAGGCGAUGGGCCUCACCGGGUUACUGACCUUAGCCAAACUCCGAAUGCCGGUAAGUGAGAGCGUGGCAGUGAGACUGUGGGGGAUAAGCUCCAUGGUCGAGAGGGAAACAGCCCAGAACACCGACUAAGGUCCCUAAGCGUGUGCUAAGUGGGAAAGGAUGUGGAGUCGCAGAGACAACCAGGAGGUUGGCUUAGAAGCAGCCACCCUUGAAAGAGUGCGUAAUAGCUCACUGGUCAAGUGAUUCCGCGCCGACAAUGUAGCGGGGCUCAAGCACACCACCGAAGUCGUGUCAUUCACAGAAUACGUCCAACGGCGCUGUGGAUGGGUAGGGGAGCGUCGUGUUCCGGGUGAAGCGGCCGAGGAAUCGAGUCGUGGACGGGAUACGAGUGAGAAUGCAGGCAUGAGUAGCGAUACAAGAGUGGGAAACUCUUGCGCCGAUUGACCAAGGGUUCCUGGGUCAAGCUGAUCUGCCCAGGGUAAGUCGGGACCUAAGGCGAGGCCGACAGGCGUAGUCGAUGGACAACGGGUUGAUAUUCCCGUACCCGCUUUGAAGCGCCAACGCUGAACCUCUGAAUGCUAAAGCCGUGAAGCCGGCCUGGAGUCUUCGGACGAAGGGACGUGGUGGAGCCGCUGAUCCAACAGGGUAUUAGGUGAGCGAUGGGGUGACGCAGGAAGGUAGUCCAGCCCGGGCGGUGGUUGUCCCGGGGUAAGGGUGUAGG